AUGGUAUUUUCCAUCUGAGUGCAACUGCCUUGAAGAAGGUGGGACACCUGCACCAUGUCAGGCCCUCAGCAGCAGAUAUUCCAGCUCUCCAUGGUCAUCCUUUCCCCCUUUCCCUCCCUGGAGGCUGCCUACAGGAUACUCCCUGCUCCCAAUGCCCUGGAUUGAACCAUGAGCUGCUGAACUCUCAAACGUGCUUUUUGGUGGGUGCACACAGUGUUGUUUUGUCUGCCGCUCCUUUAUCUUGACUUCAUUUGUCUUGGUGUUUCCCACAGAUGGUUACAAUAAGACUGAAAAUGGUUUCCCUGCUUUAUUAAAAAAAAAAAAAAAAAGCAACUCCCCUCUUUCCUUUCUAUUUUCUUAUGUGAAACUUAGAUGUCUUAGUUAGGAAUUAAAGUCUGGAUAU
rnacentral:lncRNA from 1 species